rnacentral:rRNA from 1 species
AUAUUAUUAAGCGGAGGAAAAGAAACUAACCAGGAUUCCCCUAGUAACGGCGAGUGAAGCGGGAAGAGCUCAACCCGAAAAUCUGUGCGUCUAGCGACGCACCGAAUUGUGGGCUUGCAACGUCCAAUCAGCGUGUGACCCGGGUAUAGAUCCUUUGAAACAGGGUAUCAUAGAGGGUGAGAAUCCCGUCUGUGACCUGGAGUUCGCCGCGUACGAUUGACGUUUAUUGAGUCGAAUAGCUUGGGAAUGCUGUUCUAAUUAGGUGGUAAAUUUCAUCUAAAGCUAAAUACUGACGAGAGACCGAUAGCGCACAAGUA